rnacentral:miRNA from 1 species
AUCACAUUGCCAGGGAUAACCA